CCACUACUGCAAUACAUCCACUACACCUACUCCAUUCUUUUUGCAAACUUUUGCAAAAUUUUAUAGCUGGUUGAUCCGAGCUUUCAUCUUUCAUCCUACACAAUUAUUCCACAUAUUUCAUAUCACUUCGCAAGAAAGAAUCUCAGAUUCAUAAGCCUAUACAAAAUAUAUUCCAAGCUCAUCUCCAUCAACAAUUCAACAACAAAUGAACACCCCUCUCAUUCAACGUUUCAGCAGCAAACGAUCAGCCCUCUCAUUCAAGGCUUUGUGACCAGGGGGAUUAGCGCUGCUUUCCCAAGACAGGUUUAUAUGUGAUUAUGAUCUUCAGGCUUUGCCUAACCAGGUUGGCUGGCCGGUGCUGACGGGACGGAGCUGAGGCUAGAGAUAAAUUCCUAUGUUAGACUUCCGCUGUAGCAAUUACUCAUAUCAGUCUUUUGUUUUCCCAACUUAAGAUCUUCAUGUUAAAUUUCAAAUGAUAUACCUGACCGAGCUUAGACUCUUCACUACUUAAUUUAUGCCAAUGAAUGUCAGUUGUCAGAAGCAUGAAACAAAACUUGUGAUCCAAAGGGGCAU